rnacentral:rRNA from 1 species
UACGUAGGGUGCAAGCGUUGUCCGGAAUUAUUGGGCGUAAAGAGCUCGUAGGCGGUUUGUCGCGUCUGCUGUGAAAACCCGAGGCUCAACCUCGGGCCUGCAGUGGGUACGGGCAGACUAGAGUGCGGUAGGGGAGAUUGGAAUUCCUGGUGUAGCGGUGGAAUGCGCAGAUAUCAGGAGGAACACCGGUGGCGAAGGCGGGUCUCUGGGCCGAUACUGACGCUGAGGAGCGAAAGCAUGGGUAGCGAACAGG